rnacentral:misc_RNA from 1 species
GAUGAAGAACGCAGCGAAAUGCGAUAAGUAAUGUGAAUUGCAGAAUUCAGUGAAUCAUCGAAUCUUUGAACGCACAUUGCGCCCCUUGGUAUUCCGAGGGGCAUGCCUGUUCGAGCGUCAUUAUAACGCCUCAAGCUCAGCUUGGUGUUGGGGCCUGCUGCACUGGCAGCCCUUAAAAUCAGUGGCGGCGCCAUCUGGCUCUAAGCGUAGUAAUUCUUCUCGCUAUGGAGUCCUGGUGGAUGCUUGCCAUCAACCCCCAAUUUUUCUAUGGUUGACCUCGGAUCAGGUAGGGAUACCCGCUGAACUUAAGCAUAUCAAUAAGCGGAGGA